GACGAACGCUGGCGGCGUGCUUAACACAUGCAAGUCGAGCGGAGCGGCGAACGGGUGAGUAACGCGUGAGUAACUGCCCCCCUCUCUGGGUUAACAGUUGGAAACGGCUGCUAAUCCCGGACAGUGGGGGCUGAUUCGCGUCGUAUCAGCUUGUUGGUGGAGUAGUGGCCGACCAAGGCGACGACGGGUAGCCGGCCUGAGAGGGGGACCGGCCACAUGUGGCUAAGAGACGGCGCAAACUCGUACGGGAGGCAGCAGUGGGGAAUAUUGCCCAAUGAGGGAAACCCUGGUGCAGAAGCGCCGCGUGCGGGAUGACGGCCUUCGAGUUGUAAACCGCUUUCUGCCAUGACGCAGUAGUGGCAGAAGAAGCACCGGCUAACUACGUGCCAGCAGCCGCGGUAAUUC
rnacentral:rRNA from 1 species